UACAGAGGGUGCGAGCGUUAAUCGGAAUUACUGGGCGUAAAGCGUGCGUAGACGGCUAUUUAAGUCGGGUGUGAAAGCCCCGGGCUCAACCUGGGAAUUGCAUUCGAGACUGAAUAGCUAGGGUACGGUAGAGGGAAGUGGAAUUUCCGGUGUAGCGGUGAAAUGCGUAGAUAUCGGAAGGAACAUCAGUGGCGAAAGCGACUUCCUGGACCAGUACCGACGUUCAGGCACGAAAGCGUGGGGAUCAAACAGG
rnacentral:rRNA from 1 species